AUUAUAUUUCUAGCUUCUAUAGGCACUAAGAUGGAAAAACAUAUAUUACAUUGGAAUCUUUACAUGUUAGCCAAGGCUAGUGCAUAUCAUUUCUCCAACCAGAUAUUCUCUCUCUCUCUCUCUCUCUAGAGAGAGAGGGCUAUUCCGGCAAGAAUAGGCACCCCAGACCCUCCAAAGGGCCUCUCCUGCGAUGGUGAGAAUGGCCACCCCAGGGCUCUCUCUCCUCCCUGCCAAAGCCACGCAGAAAGCGACUUACCUUUCAGUUUCUCUCCAAGGGGGGCAGGACGGCGAGCUGGGCCCCACUGUCUGCCCUUGCCCUGGGCUGCCCAUUGAACAGCUCCACCUCUGCCAGCCUGGAGGGUGGUCUGGGAGUAUGUAGGUGUGGGACCUUGAAGGCCACCUCGGUCCAGCCAGCUCGCUAGCCCAGACCAGAGCCCAAAGCACACAGGUGCGGCCUCUGCCCUUCACAGCCCUCUCCUGGAGCCAAAGCCGUCCUUCUUUGCCAUAGCCAAUCCUCCUCAGAGCAGCCAGGCCUACAGGCCUCAGGACUACAGGUAGUCUCUCCGAUUGCAGAAUCCCAAAGCCAGAGUGUUCCCUGAACCAGCGUGCGCCCCCAGAACGCCUUGGGACGCGCAGUUUGGACAGAAGCAGCCAUGACGUGCCAGGCGGCCUGUGCAACCAGUCUCCAUGGUGCUGGAGUGGGGGUGGGGGAGGACCCGAGUCUAUAACGGCGUCCAGCUCCGGUCAGGGGUAGCCGAGGCGGGGAGAUUUCCCGGCCAUAUAGGCUCUGGGUGAUCGCCCCCCAGGUCCCCUUGCGUCCCCCUCUACCCUGCUUGCUGGGAAAUCUCUGAGGGGCCAGUACAGCAGUCGCGCCAGGCUGCAAGAGGCGGGCUGCAGCUGGCGCCGGUCCCGGCGACGGCCACGGCGUGGCAGCAGCGAGCGCCAGCACGGUCGCAAUAAAUAAUCGGCCCGCGGCAGCCGCAGUCAGGAAGGCGGCGGACCUAGGAUGCAAAUGCGCCGCUUUAUCCGCCCCGAGCGCACGCAGAGCACGGGCUAACGUCCUAAACAUCCACAGCCCCUUCCUAUUUAUCGAAUCCAUACCAAGAUAUUGUCUCAAGUUGGGGAAACAACAACCCAAACAAAAAACAAACAAAAAGAACCUCGGACUCUUUUCUUGUCGCUGUCCGAGGAGUUCUCGGGGCAAAUCUGGUCUGAUGUGCACUUAGGCCGAGCUACAGUUCGAGCCACCGCGCUACGCAAAGCCACCGCCAGCAGCACGCUCUGCGCUUCCUCCCGGGCAGCUCCACCAUCCUCUCCCCGCUCGCGGAAGGUGGGGAGUGCGGUCGCCAGUCCGUUGCGCCAAGGUGGAUUGGGGGGUCCCCCUAUCGCCCAGACUCGGUUUGCGUCCUUCCUUCAACCUUAGCUGCGGGACCCUGCCACGCGCGCUAACAGCAUUAUGUCCUCUGCACCGAAACUUCCCACCAAGUAACACCCAAUUAAUCCCAUCCUCUCCUCCAACACAGAAUUCCACCCACGCACCUAUUCCCCCUCCCAGCGCUUCAGACACCUCUCUCAUCGAAAAACCGGGCGAAGGGAAGCCGGCAACGAGCGGAGAACUCUGGCUGAAUUAACGGUGGCUCCCAGAAGCUCCUGCCCCUCUGACAGCUGUCGCUUGGGCAGCCCGAGAGAAGAAUUGUCCUCUUUCCUGGUGCCAGAGGACGCAGGAAAUUAGCCAGGUUGCGAGUUGCAAAGCUGCUGCCGCGGCGCCGGGAACGGAGCGCGCCCAAUCUCCAGCGGGAGCCGCCAGGCCUGGCCUGGCCGGGGCUUCCCUUCGCUCGCCAUCUCCGGACAAAGCACAGCCGAGCCCGGCUGGAAGGCAGAGCUCCGAAGCAGGCAGGACGGAGCGGAGCAAAAGAAUGCGGCUCUAUUCUCGCAAGGGAAAUUAUAAAAAAGUUCAUGUUCACGGUUCUCAUCCACAUGACCGACAGCGGCCAAUGGAAGGGCCGAACAACUCAUAAAGUUGUAUUGCAAAGUUGUAAAUUUUCAUAAACAACAACGGAUUU
ensembl:lncRNA HOXA-AS3 HOXA cluster antisense RNA 3